rnacentral:rRNA from 1 species
ACGCUGGCGGCAUGCCUUAACAUGCAAGUCGAACGGCAGCGCGGGGGCAACCCUGGCGGCGAGUGGCGAACGGGUGAGUAAUAUAUCGGAACGUGCCCUAGAGUGGGGGAUAACGUAGCGAAAGUUACGCUAAUACCGCAUACGAUCUACGGAUGAAAGGGGGGGAUCGCAAGACCUCUCGCUCGUGGAGCGGCCGAUAUCUGAUUAGCUAGUUGGCGGGGUAAAAGCCCACCAAGGCGACGAUCAGUAGCUGGUCUGAGAGGACGACCAGCCACACUGGGACUGAGACACGGCCCAGACUCCUACGGGAGGCAGCAGUGGGGAAUUUUGGACAAUGGGGGCAACCCUGAUCCAGCAAUGCCGCGUGUGUGAAGAAGGCCUUCGGGUUGUAAAGCACUUUUGUCAGGAACGAAACGGCUGCGGCUAAUACCUGCGGUCAAUGACGGUACCUGAAGAAUAAGCACCGGCUAACUACGUGCCAGCAGCCGCGGUAAUACGUAGGGUGCAAGCGUNAAUCGGAAUUACUGGGCGUA